UACGUUUAAGUAUAGAGUGUACGGGAACUUUUGAUGUUCUUAGGGAUAGUUAAAAACUAUCAAACGUAA
rnacentral:tRNA from 1 species